rnacentral:rRNA from 1 species
GAGUUUGAUCAUGGCUCAGAUUGAACGCUGGCGGCAUGCCUUACACAUGCAAGUCGAACGGUAACAGGUCUUCGGAUGCUGACGAGUGGCGAACGGGUGAGUAAUACAUCGGAACGUGCCCGAUCGUGGGGGGAUAACGGAGCGAAAGCUUUGCUAAUACCGCAUACGAUCUACGGAUGAAGCAGGGGACCGCAAGGCCUUGCGCGGACGGAGCGGCCGAUGGCAGAUUAGGUAGUUGGUGGGAUAAAAGCUUACCAAGCCGACGAUCUGUAGCUGGUCUGAGAGGACGACCAGCCACACUGGGACUGACGACACGGCCCAGACUCCUACGGGAGGCAGCAGUGGGAAUUUUGGACAAUGGGCGAAAGCCUGAUCCAGCCAUGCCGCGUGCAGGAUGAAGGCCU